GCGCACAGGAAGACCAAGAGAGGCAGCCGCAGAGUAGGAUGCUCUGCGGGGCGCCCUGAGCCAGGGGCUCUUGAAGCAGCUUCGGGGACAGGGGCAACUGGACAGCUUUCACCAUGCAUCAGUCCCUGACUCAGCAGCGGUCCAGCGACAUGUCCCUUCCCGAUUCCAUGGGAGCCUUCAAUAGGAGGAAGAGGAACUCCAUCUACGUUACCGUUACUUUGCUUAUUGUGUCCGUGUUAAUUCUCACGGUGGGCCUUGCUGCAACUACCAGGACCCAGAAUGUGACCGUGGGAGGUUAUUACCCAGGAGUUAUUGUAAGUACAGAGAGCAUAGGUCAGCCUCUGGAGCUUGCUUGCUACAGCAUUCGUGACUCUUCUGUGAUGGUUUUCAAUU
rnacentral:lncRNA from 1 species